rnacentral:rRNA from 1 species
GACGAACGCUGGCGGCGUGCUUAACACAUGCAAGUCGAACGGAAAGGCCCUGCUUUUGUGGGGUGCUCGAGUGGCGAACGGGUGAGUAACACGUGAGUAACCUUCCCUUGCCUUUGGGAUAACUUCAGGAAACUGGGGCUCAUACCGGAUAGGCGCUCCUGCUGCAUGGUGGGGGUUGGAAAGUUUCGGCGGUUGGGGAUGGACUCGCGGCUUAUCAGCUGGUUGGUGGGUUAGUGGCUUACCAAGGCUUUGGCGGGUAGCCGGCCUGAGAGGGUGACCGGCCAAAUUGGGCCUGAGAUACGGCCCAGACUCCUCCGGGAGGCAGCAGUGGGGAAUAUUGCACAAUGGGCGGAAGCCGGAUGCAGCAACGCCGCGUGCGGGAUGACGGCCUUCGGGUUGUAAACCGCUUUCGCCUGUGACGAAGCGUGAGUGACGGUAAUGGGUAAAGAAGCACCGGCUAACUACGUG